UACGAAGGUCCCGAGCGUUAUCCGGAUUUAUUGGGUUUAAAGGGUGCGUAGGCGGGUUAUUAAGUCAGUGGUGAAAGCCUUCAGCUUAACUGAAGAAUUGCCAUUGAUACUGAUGAUCUUGAGUACGAUUGAGGUAGGCGGAAUGUGUCAUGUAGCGGUGAAAUGCUUAGAUAUGACACAGAACACCGAUUGCGAAGGCAGCUUACUAAGUCGUAACUGACGCUGAUGCACGAAAGCGUGGGGAGCAAACAGG
rnacentral:rRNA from 1 species